AUACGAACAAUGCAAACCCACUCU
rnacentral:siRNA from 1 species